UAGAAGCAUGGUGUGUUGGGAAGCUCAAGGACAUGAGAAGUACAUCUUCUAAGAAUUUAUCAAAUUUUGGCCUCUCCAGUGAAGAUUCAAGGAUGUUAAAGCGAGCCUUGGAGUUUAACUGGCAAAUGCUAUUGGAGGACAUUGGUCUUUGGAUACCUCCCAAUAUAUGGUAAAAUCAUAUGGAUUGGAUCUGAGAUUUAAGUUCGACUUGUACUCACUUGCAGGCAAGGAAAGUGCAAGUGUGUACACUUCUUAGUAUCUCAACGAUGUGGACUACUAUGGCGGGUUCGAGCAAGAUGAGCUGGAUGAGCUGUUUGAGGCGAUGCAAUCAAACUACAAGGCCUGGUGCUUAGGUUUUGCACCCCCUGUGUGUUGGAGGAGAUAUGGAAUCAGUGGCAGUUCAGGAGUUUAACAGGACACUCUUCAAUAUACGUCCGGACAUUGCACUUAAUGUUGCCUAGACGAUCUUCCAGAGCGAUGUGCGCAGCCUCCUCCCGCACGUUAGUGUCCCAUGCCACAUUGUUCAGAGCACCAAGGAUCUCGCGGUGCCAGUUGUGGUGUCUGAGUACCUGCACAGGCACCUUGGUGGCGACUCCAUCGUGGAGGUGAUGCCGUCUGAAGGCCAUCUUCCCCAGCUUAGCUCUCCAGACAUCGUAACCCCUGUCUUACUCCGGCACAUCCAGCAUGACAUCACAGUCUAGGUUGGCCAGCCGUUCCAAAAAGACAAUGUGGAAAUUGUAGCAUAUAUAUAUAUGACCAUGUAAUCUAUUGUUCGUCUAAUGUAGGAUACCGUGUUGGAUGCUCUGACAUCUUAAGUCCUUGAGAAGCUCUUCAUGUCA